rnacentral:misc_RNA from 1 species
ACAAACUUGGUCAUUUAGAGGAAGUAAAAGUCGUAACAAGGUUUCCGUAGGUGAACCUGCGGAAGGAUCAUUAACUGUUUGCAUGCAUCUGCGUGCGUCAACCUGUGCAUUACUUUUCUUUUUUUCCUGGUGCCACUGCAAGCAGUGGCUACUACGAACAAAGCUGAAGCCGGUAGGGUUAGGGUUUCUAACACUUGGUCUUUUUGGUCGUAGUAGCCACUGCGUGCAGUGACAGUAGGAAAGGAAAAAAAGAAAGAGAAGAAAAUAGAGUCUUAGUAGAAUGUGAAUAAUACAACUUGCAGCAAUGGAUCUCUAGGCUCCUGCAUCGAUGAAGAACGCAGC